CCUGAGGAGGGGAAGUGGAGGGGCAAGCAUUGAUCUCUUUUCUCUGAUGACCAGUGAUAGGACCCAAGAGAACAGCAGGAAGCUGUGCCAGGAGAAGUUUA